rnacentral:lncRNA from 10 species
GAAUAGAGAGCCCAGAAAUAAGGCCACACACCUACAACCAUCUGAUCUUUAACAAUGCUGACAAAAAAAAAAAACAAUGGGGAAAGGACUCCCUAUUCAAUAAGUGGUGCUGAGAUAACUGGCUAGCCAUAUGCAGAAGAUUCAGACUGGAUCCCUUCUUUAUAUGAUAUGUAAAAAUCAACUCAAGAUGGAUUAAAGACUUAAAUGUAAAACCCAGAACUAUCAAAACCCUGGAAGAUAACCUAGGCAAUACCAUCCUGGACAUAGGAAUGGCAAAGAUUUCAUGACGAAGAUGUCAACAGCAAUCGCAACAAAAGCAAAAAUUGACAGGCG